UUACCGUGAAAAAAUUAGAGUGUUCAAAGCAGGCAGAUUCAAUUUUCUGCCACCGAAUACAUUAGCAUGGGAUAAUGGAAUAGGACCCUGUCCUCCUUUUUUCAGUUGGUUAAUUCACAAGAGAGGAACAGGGUAAUGAUUAAUAGGGAUAGUUGGGGGCAUUAAUAUUUAAUUGUCAGAGGUGAAAUUCUUGGAUUUAUGAAAGAUUAACUUCUGCGAAAGCAUCUGCCAAGGAUGUUUUCAUUAAUCAAGAACGAAAGUUAGGGGAUCGAAGACGAUCAGAUACCGUCGUAGUCUUAACCAUAAACGAUGCCGACCAGCGAUUAGGAGACGUUGAAUACAAAACACCCUCUAUAUAUAAUUCAG
rnacentral:rRNA from 1 species